rnacentral:rRNA from 1 species
UACGUAGGAUGCAAGCGUUGUCCGGAUUUACUGGGCGUAAAGGGCGCGUAGGCGGCCUGUUAAGUCGAACGUGAAAUCCCCGGGCUCAACCCGGGAACUGCGUCCGAUACUGGCAGGCUUGAAUCCGGGAGAGGGAUGUGGAAUUCCAGGUGUAGCGGUGAAAUGCGUAGAUAUCUGGAGGAACACCGGUGGCGAAGGCGGCAUCCUGGACCGGUAUUGACGCUGAGGCGCGAAAGCCAGGGGAGCAAACGGG